rnacentral:lncRNA from 1 species
CUGGCCUCAGGUGAUCCUCCCACCUUGACUUCCCAGAGUACUGAAAUUAUAGGUGCAAGCCAGCACACCUGACCCUGGACUCUUACUUAGUACCAGCCAGUGCUCUAAGAGAUUUACUUGGAUUAACUCAUUUAAUCCUCAAAAUAAAACCAUGAGGUAUUGACUCAACUGGCUUUGUAUGCUGGGCACCACUUUGCAAACAGCUUACAGGAUGGACUGCAGUCCUCACAACGAUCUUCAAAGCACGCUCGGAGUUGUGGCCCUACGGGGACCCGGUGAAUUCAGCUGCCUGUAUGAGGUGAUGUUGUUUUGCCUUAAAUGGUCCCCUAGCCUCUCCCAAAGACCCCUCCUUACUCUUCCCAAGAAUGUCCCAAUUCCUUUCCCACUUGUGCCACUCAUUUUCAAGAGAGGAGAUGGCCCAGCCCUCUUCUCUUCCCCACCUCCCUCCCCCAAACUGUGUGACCCUCAGCACCCAGGGCUCAGGGGGCUGCCAGAGAUGGAGAGGAGGCAAACCCA